CCUACGGGGGGCAGCAGUGAGGAAUAUUGGUCAAUGGACGGAAGUCUGAACCAGCCAAGUAGCGUGAAGGAUGACUGCCCUAUGGGUUGUAAACUUCUUUUAUAUGGGAAUAAAAUGUUCCACGUGUGGGAUUUUGUAUGUACCAUAUGAAUAAGGAUCGGCUAACUCCGUGCCAGCAGCCGCGGUAAUACGGAGGAUCCGAGCGUUAUCCGGAUUUAUUGGGUUUAAAGGGAGCGUAGGUUGAUUGUUAAGUCAGUUGUGAAAGUUUGCGGCUCAACCGUAAAAUUGCAGUUGAAACUGGCAGUCUUGAGUACAGUAGAGGUGGGCGGAAUUCGUGGUGUAGCGGUGAAAUGCUUAGAUAUCACGAAGAACUCCGAUUGCGAAGGCAGUUCACUGGACUGCAACUGACACUGAGGCUCGAAAGUGUGGGUAUCAAACAGGAUUAGAUACCCGAGUAGUC
rnacentral:rRNA from 1 species